rnacentral:rRNA from 1 species
AUUGAACGCUGGCGGCAUGCCUUACACAUGCAAGUCGAACGGUAACAGGUCUUCGGAUGCUGACGAGUGGCGAACGGGUGAGUAAUAUAUCGGAACGUGCCCAGUCGUGGGGGAUAACGGCAGCGAAAGCUGUGCUAAUACCGCAUACGAUCUAUGGAUGAAAGCGGGGGAUCGCAAGACCUCGCGCGAUUGGAGCGGCCGAUAUCAGAUUAGCUAGUUGGUGGGGUAAAAGCUCACCAAGGCGACGAUCUGUAGCUGGUCUGAGAGGACGACCAGCCACACUGGAACUGAGACACGGUCCAGACUCCUACGGGAGGCAGCAGUGGGGAAUUUUGGGACAAUGGGCGCAAGCCUGAUCCAGCAAUGCCGCGUGCAGGAUGAAGGCCUUCGGGUUGUAAACUGCUUUUGUACGGAACGAAACGGUGAGCUCUAAUAAAGCUUGCUAAUGACGGUACCGUAAGAAUAAGCACCGGCUAACUACGUG